GGGGUUGUAGCUCAGUGGAAGAGCACUUGCCUAGCAUGUGUGAGGCACUGGGUUCGAUUCUCAGCAUCACAU
rnacentral:tRNA from 1 species